GUUGACCUCGGAUCAGGUAGGGAUACCCGCUGAACUUAAGCAUAUCAAUAAGCGGAGGAAAAGAAACCAACAGGGAUUGCCUCAGUAACGGCGAGUGAAGCGGCAACAGCUCAAAUUUGAAAUCUGGCCCUCCGGCCCGAGUUGUAGUUUGUAGAGGGAGUUUCGGGCGCGGCCCGGCCUAAGUUCCUUGGAACAGGGCGUCACAGAGGGUGAGAAUCCCGUACGUGGCCGGCGACCAAGCCCAUGUGAAACCCCUUCGACGAGUCGAGUUGUUUGGGAAUGCAGCUCUAAAUGGGUGGUAAAUUUCAUCUAAAGCUAAAUACCGGCCAGAGACCGAUAGCGCACAAGUAGAGUGAUCGAAAGAUGAAAAGCACUUUGGAAAGAGAGUUAAAAAGUACGUGAAAUUGUUGAAAGGGAAGCGCUUGCAAUCAGACUUGCCCGCGGGUGAUCAGCCUCCCUUUGGGGGGGUGCACUCGCCCGCGGUCAGGCCAGCAUCGGUUUCGGCGGCCGGAUAAAGUCCCCGGGAAUGUGGCUCCCCUCGGGGAGUGUUAUAGCCCGGGGUGCAAUGCGGCCAGCCGGGACCGAGGACCGCGCUUCGGCUAGGAUGCUGGCGUAAUGGUUGCAAGCGACCCGUCUUGAAACACGGACCAAGGAGUCUAACAUCUAUGCGAGUGUUUGGGUGUCAAACCCAUGCGCGGAAUGAAAGUGAACGGAGGUGGGAACCCCUUCCGGGGCGCACCAUCGACCGAUCCUGAUGUCUUCGGAUGGAUUUGAGUAGGAGCAUAGCUGUUGGGACCCGAAAGAUGGUGA
rnacentral:rRNA from 1 species